UACGUAGGGGGCAAGCGUUGUCCGGAAUCAUUGGGCGUAAAGCGCGUGUAGGCGGUCCGGUAAGUCCGCUGUGAAAGUCCAGGGCUCAACCCUGGGAUGCCGGUGGAUACUGUCGGGCUAGAGUACGGAAGAGGCGAGUGGAAUUCCUGGUGUAGCGGUGAAAUGCGCAGAUAUCAGGAGGAACACCAAUUGCGAAGGCAGCUCGCUGGGACGUUACUGACGCUGAGACGCGAAAGCGUGGGGAGCAAACGGG
rnacentral:rRNA from 1 species